rnacentral:rRNA from 1 species
AUUGAACGCUGGCGGCAUGCCUUACACAUGCAAGUCGAACGGUAACGCGGGGCAACCUGGCGACGAGUGGCGAACGGGUGAGUAAUGUAUCGGAACGUGCCCAGUUGUGGGGGAUAACUGCUCGAAAGAGCAGCUAAUACCGCAUACGACCUGAGGGUGAAAGCGGGGGAUCGCAAGACCUCGCGCAAUUGGAGCGGCCGAUAUCAGAUUAGGUAGUUGGUGGGGUAAAGGCUCACCAGGCCAACGAUCUGUAGCUGGUCUGAGAGGACGACCAGCCACACUGGGACUGAGACACGGCCCAGACUCCUACGGGAGGCAGCAGUGGGGAAUUUUGGACAAUGGACGCAAGUCUGAUCCAGCCAUGCCGCGUGCGGGAAGAAGGCCUUCGGGUUGUAAACCGCUUUUGUCAGGGAAGAAACGCCCUGGGUUAAUACCUCGGGGUAAUGACGGUACCUGAAGAAUAAGCACCGGCUAACUACGUGCCAGCAGCCGCCGUAAUAC